UAAAUCAUAACUUCCUCAUACGAAGUCAGAUUUGGGCGUUCUAUAUAUAUUCGGAAACCUCGUUUCAACUACUACAACAUUAACCAAAUAUAUUAAGUUUAUUUUACACUUAAAUUUUGACGCUUAUUUUUAUUCUUAAUUAAUCAAACCACAUAAUUAAGCAAUUAAGCACAAAACACACAAUACUCAAAUAAUACAAUCUUAUUAUUUCAAAACGGGUUACAGAGGUUAACCUAGACUAUUACAUUGCUACAAAUGGCAAGCCCGAAACACAGGCGUUACAAUUCUCUCCACCUUAGAAUGAUUCCGUCCCCGGAAUCACACAUCAACAAACAAAUGCGGAUAGCGACUCAACAUGUCACUCUCCGUCUCCCAGGUGAGAUUCGGCCCAUUCGUGUGUUUCCAUCGGACAAGCACUAACCCAACCAUUUUGCGUCGCAACUUCUUAGUCUUUCGGUCAACAAUUGCCUCUGGUUCUUCAAUCAACCUUUUGUUCUCAUCAAUUCUCAAUUCAGAAAUUGGAAUUAUAUCGGGAACUUCUCCCGUGAACUUCCUCAAAUAACACACAUGAAAGGUGUUGUGAAUUCCAUUCAGUUCUUCGGGUAAUUCGAGCUUGUAAGCUUGAUUCCCAAUCCUCUGAAGGACUCUAAACGGUCCAAUAAACCUUGGACUCAACUUUCCCCUUUUACCAAAUCUUAUAAGUCCCUUCCACGGCGAGACUUUAAGCAAAACCGAAUCUCCAACCUCAAAAGUCAUCGGUCUUCGCUUCUUGUCAGCAUAGCUCUUUUGACGAUCUUGAGCUGCUAACAUUCUUUCCCUAAUUAUUUUCAACUUUUCAGCAGUUUGAUGAACCAACUCCGGUCCCAUAAACUGCUUUUCCCCAGCCUCAAGCCAACAAGACGGCGUACGACACUUCUGUCCAUACAAAGCUUGAUAAGGUGCCAUCUUAAUGCUCGAGUGAAAACUAUUAUUAUAGGAAAAUUCUACCAACGGUAAAUGUUCAUCCCAAUUACCUAGGAAUUCCAAGGUACAUGCUCUCAGCAUAUCUUCAAGUGUUUGUAUUGUUCUUUCACUCUGACCAUCAGUCUGCGGAUGGUAAGCUGUGCUUAAACAUAACUUGGUACCCAUUUCCUCUUGUAGACUUUUCCAAAACCUUGAGGUGAAACGGCUAUCACGAUCCGAUACAAUCGUUAACGGAACACCGUGAAGCCUCACAAUUUCCUUCACGUAAGAAUUCGCAAGCUUUUCCAUAGACCAUUUCUCCCUGGCCGCUAUGAAAUGCGCACUCUUAGUGAAUCGAUCAACGACCACCCAAAUCAUGUCGUGACCAUUCUUUGUUCUGGGCAGUUUAGUGACAAAAUCCAUAGCAAUGUCUUCCCACUUACCCAUAGGCACAGGCAAAGGUUCUAAACUCCCGUACGGUUUCUGAUGUUGUGUCUUGACUCUCGCACAAGUCACACACUCGGCCACAUACUUUGCAACAUCAAGCUUCAUCGUCGGCCACCAGUAGUAGGGUUUCAGGUCCCUAUACAUUUUAGUGCUACCCGGAUGAAUCGAGUACAUGGUCUUGUGAGCUUCUUCCAUCAGAAGAUCUCUAAUUCCUCCUGACUUAGGUACCCAAAUACGAUCUUGGAAUACCUUCAGUCCAUGACCGUUAGUACCAAACACCAACGUUUUACCCAAACGUUCCUCCUUUCGGUCAUUUUUCUCAGAAGCUUCCUCUUGAGCUUUCUUUAUACUUUCCACAAUGGUCGAGACAACUUCAAUUCUCAACGCUCUUGGCCUCUUCCUUUCAAGAUUGACCUUCCGACUGAGAGCAUCAGCAACAACAUUAGCUUUACCGGGGUGGUAAAGUAUCUCGCAGUCGUAGUCUUUAAGUAAUUCUAGCCAGCGUCGUUGCCUCAUAUUCAAUUCUUUCUGAUUAAAGAGGUAUUGGAGACUCUUAUGAUCAGUGAAAAGUUUGCACUUCGUGCCAUAGAGGUAAUGCCUCCAUAUUUUCAGAGCGAAAACUACCGCUGCCAACUCCAAAUCAUGAGUCGGGUAAUUCUUUUCAUGCUCUUUCAGCUGUCGAGACGCAUAUGCUAUCACCUUUUCUCUUUGGGUCAAAACACAACCCAAUCCAACACCAGACGCAUCGCUAUAAACAGCGAAGUCUUCAACUCCAUCGGGUAGAGAAAGUAUCGGUGCCUCGCAUAGCUUCUUCUUUAACUUCUCGAAUGCUUCUUUAUGCUUCUCACUCCAAGCAUAAGUAGCUCCUUUGUGGGUCAAAGCUGUUAAUGGAGUAGCAAUCGAAGAAAAGCCUUGGAUAAACCUUCGGUAAUAUCCGGCUAAUCCUAAAAAGCUUCGAAUCUCCGUGGGACUUUUCGGUUGUUCCCACUUCGUCACAGCUUCGAUCUUCGCUGGAUCAACCAUUAUCCCUUCUUGGUUGACCACGUGACCCAAGAAUUGGACUUCACGAAUCCAAAAAUCACAUUUGGAGAACUUCGCAUAAAGCUUCUCCUUCUUCAAAACUUCUAACACUUCUCGCAAGUGUCUGCCAUGCUCCUCCUGGCUUUUCGAGUAGAUCAGAAUGUCGUCUAUGAACACUAUCACGGAUUUAUCAAGGAAAGGAUUACAAACCCUAUUCAUCAAAUCCAUGAACGCUGCUGGAGCAUUGGUUAGUCCAAACGACAUAACCAAGAACUCGUAGUGUCCAUAUCUAGUUCUGAAUGCAGUCUUCUCGAUAUCUUGCUCUCUUACUUUCAGCUGAUGAUAUCCUGACCUAAGAUCGAUCUUCGAGAAAUAGCUCGAACCUUGCAAUUGAUCAAACAGGUCAUCAAUCCUCGGCAACGGAUAUCUAUUCUUUAUUGUUGCCUUGUUCAGCUCUCUGUAAUCGAUGCACAUUCUCAUACUUCCAUCUUUCUUCUUUACAAAUAACACCGGAGCUCCCCAGGGCGAUGAACUAGGUCUAAUGAAACCUUUGUCCAAUAACUCCUGAAGUUGCAUCAUUAGCUCCUUCAUCUCCGUCGGUGCUAAUCGAUAAGGUGCUUUUGCUAUUGGCGUGGUUCCUGGUAACAAGUCUAUUCUGAACUCCACUUGUCUAUCAGGUGGUAAUCCAGGAAGAUCCUCGGGAAAUACUUCCGGAUAAUCACACACCACUGGAAUGCUCUGCAUCACCUUCUUUUCUUUCUUAGCAUCAAUCACGAAUGCUAAAUAUGAUGUACAUCCCUUGGUCAAACACUUUCUGGCUUUCAUUAGAGAAAUGAUUCCAGAAUUCACUCUGCGUUUGUCCCCAUACACCAUAAACGAAUCUUUUCCAGGCGGGUUUACUUUAACUAUCUUCUUCUUGCACAAAAUUUCGGCAUCAUUGGCGCUAAGCCAAUCCAUUCCCAAGACGAUGUCGAAACCAUUUAGUUCGAUAGGCAAUAAUUCCUCGAGAAACUUAUUCCCAUUAAGGUCGAUCAAGACGUUUUUCAUACGAUGGCUAACAGGUACAAACUUGCCACUAGCUACUUCGACUAAUAAAGCAUUAUUUAGUCUAUCAACAGGCAAAGCUAGCUUUCUACCAAACUCAUGCGAAAUAAAGGAGUAGUUGGCUCCAGAAUCAAACAAUAUAUGAGCAGGUAAUUCGUUUACGAGAAAGGUACCUGAAGCGACAUCAGCUUCAUCUUUCGCAGCCUCAAGUGUCAUCUGGAAGGCUCUCGCCUUCGGCUUUGGUGGAAUGUUGGGCCUAGCUGCCUCCUUCUUCUUCGGACAGUCUUUCAAAAUAUGCCCCUCUUCAUUACAACCAAAACACAUCCUUUUGUUGUUCGGACAUUCAUUGGCAAAAUGUCCAACCUUUCCACACUUGUAGCAGGUCACAUCCUCGCUACAUUUCCCAAAGUGCUUUUUCUUACACUUAUCACACCACUUUGCUUCGCCUCCUUUUCCUCCAAACUUUUUCGAAUCAGAUUUCGAAAAUUUGCUCUUCUUACUGGAACCAGAUGUUCCUUCAAACUUCCUUUUCUCACCAACCUCAACCUUGACGGUGGUUCUCCCCUUGAUCAUGUUCUCCACAGACUUGGCAGCCCAGAUAGCUGCCUCUAGAGUAAGUGCCUGACGUACCGGCACCUCGUACUCCCAUGGAAGUCCCUUCGCAUACCGAUCCACCUUUGUCAGCUCGUCUGGAACGAUACGCAAGGCAAACUCCAUCUUAUCGGUGAAGUUAUUGGUGUAUUCAUCAACUGACAUGCUACCCUUCGUCAAUGUCAAAAACUUAUUCUCCAACUCCAACAGAUUUUGAGCCGAGCAGAACUUGCGCUUGAACUGCACCAAGAACUCUGCCCAUGACAAUUGCAGUGGCUCAUUAGGGCUUAAGGUCUUCCCUAGAGUGUUCCACCAACGAACGGCUCCACCUCGGAAUUGUCGCACGGCAUAGAUAGUCUGCAACUUACCUCUGCAGCCACAUGUCAUAAAGGCUAACUCCAUUUCGGAGAUCCAAUCCAUAACCCCAAUCGGAUCCUCCUUUCCAUUGAAGGUCGAUGGUUUGCAAGUCAAAAAGUCCUUGUACUUGCAUCCCAUUCCAUCAUUCCUUCCUUCAUGGUUAUCUUGCCUAACUAUCGGUGGGUUGGCUGGACCAACAGACCCACUGAAGUUUCCACCUUCCGAGUGCCCUUCAUUUAAUUCAGGCUCUUCCACACGAAUCGACAGUUCUUCACGAUUUUGUUGAAGCAACCGUCUAGUUUCAUCCAUCUGACGAUCCAACAUCGUCUGAAUCAUCAAUUGCACACCAGCCAUGGUUAUUGGCUCAGGUGCUGCUGCUACGACAGGUAUUGGCUCAAUCACUGGUGGUUGAUUCCUGUUUUCGUCAGCAUUUCCAACUCCACUUCUUGUUCUCACCAUUUUGAUCUACACCCCGAAUAAGGUGAAAUUAGAUCCUCAAUCAUGAUAGAUAUUCAAAUCAUCCUUAUCACUCCGAAACGUUUACAUGCUAGUUCUAAUAUCGUAGACGUACGCUUAGAAUCCUACACACAUAAGGUUUCUAGAUCCGGUCGGCAACAGACCAUAGAUCCGAACAAAUAAUAUCAUAUAUGGCAACAUAUAACAUUUAGCACAUAAAGCAUUUUAGGCAACUUUCCUAAAAUAAACUAGUGCUCGUGUCUAAAACACAACAGACACACAUCUCAAAACUUCACUUAGCAUUCUAAGUUUAAGUCUAGAAAUCCUACAAAUUCCUAGUUCGCUUAAACUAAUGCUCUGAUACCAACUGUGACAUCCCCAAAAUCUCGGCCAGAAAAGACCGAUUUUCAUUUAUGCUUUUAAAUAUUUUCAGAGUAAAUCCUUUUGAUUUGAAAGAGUUGCGGAAUUUGUUCCCAAAACAAAACAUGAUAAAAUAAUAUUUAUCAAAGCAUUUCAUCAAGAGAUGCAUUUCAUUAUAUAAUCAAAACUCGGGAUGUCAUGUUCCGAUACAGACCAUAAAGCAUAAACGAUAAACAUUACAAGUCAUUCAACAAAUAUAUACAUAUACAGACUUGUAAACAAAACAACAAGAUGAUCCAUCCAUCUUACGCCCUUGUGCCACUUCCUGUAAUACAAAUAAAACUGAGUGGGUCAGGCUUGGGAGCCUGGUGAGCAUAUAGGGUUUUCAACCCACAAUAAAUAAGUUAUAUUUAAUUUCACCAACCAAUCACUAUCCCGAUUACCCAUUCCCGUUAUCCUCACUUUACGUCCCUAAAACAACUAUCUCAAGGGACCUAAUCUAGGAUUUUCAUCGGGACGGACAUCACUGCGAAGGGGUUUCCUCAACAAUAGAUAUCCUAAAGGCAACCAUGAGGGGGAUAGAGUACACCGGUGAACACAUCGUUCACAACACCUACAGGUUAUGAACCUGCUAGCGUUCCACUGGACUGUCUAGAAAGAGUCCGUGGUCGUUAUCCAUACUCCGCUGAAUAACUAGAUCAACAACAACAACAACAUCGAGGCCUCUCAUCUGUUUAUUACACACCAACUAUCUACCCAUGUUCUACCCAACAUAUUAAUAGAUAAAAAUAUAUAUUUUCAUACAUAUUUUAAAACCUGUAUAGUAUUUUCAUUCAAUACAUAUUCCACAUAACAGAUGAGGCACACCCACAUAACACGUAUUUCAUAGAAAAUAAAUCAGGUCUAUGAGAUCGAAGAGAAUGAAUAUACAUUCACACAUAUAGAAACAAUAUUAUACACAUAACACGUAUUUCGUAUAAAAUACUUCAUAAUUACGCGUUAGAAGAAAGUAACCACACACUCACACAUAUAAACCACAAUAUACUUAAUACACUCAAACCAUACUUGUAUUAUUAUCGUGUUUAUGAAAGGUAGUAUACACUCACUUGAUCAGAAGAUGAUCGGACAGCACUACGACUUGCAGAAGUAGUAAUCCUCAGCAGAUCUGGAAGAUCUCUACAAAAAUCGAACUUCUCGCGGGCAGAGCUUCGGCUCGGGAACCGCACUUCUCGGGAUCUUCGGGAUCUCGGGACUUGCUUCGGGGCUCGAGAAUAAUACCGGGGCUUCGGGGUAUUUCUGGCACGCAAAUCGAUGCAAAACGGGAGAGAGAAGAGAGAAAAUAGCAAAAGAACUCGGCUGCCCUCGCAUCCUAUUUAUAAGAGGCUGGAGCCUCGGAGUACACGGGGCGUACUGCAGUAUGCGGGGCGUACUGGUCCAAAAUCGUCACUGCUUACGUAUCCGAAGAACUCGAGUGCGAGGCGUGUCAUGCUUCGUUGUACGCAGGGCGUACUUCGGAUGAGUCCGAUGACUCCUCUUCGGAUAAUGUCGGAUUUUCUAAUUAAAUUUAAAUACAAAAUAUUUAAUAAACUUCGAAAAUUCAUAUCUUCUUCAUACGAACUCUGUUUUCGACAUUCUUUAUAUCCACGCGUAGGUGAGACUACGCUCUACAACUUUCGUUUAGACUCCGUCGGCUAAUUUUAACUUUAUUUUUAUUAUUUAUUUUUAAUAGGCCGGGACAGAAAAACUUCGUUAUAAAUUCAUAACUUCUUCGUUUGACGUCCGUUCUCGCCUAACUUUUUAUCGCUUCGAUACCAACAACGAGACCUUCGAUCCUCGUUUAGAUUGAUUCAGCUAAAAACUGCUCGAUCUCAAAUCGAGUAUUUCAGGCUGCAUACCGCUAAGCCGAAACUUCGAUAAAUCAUAACUUCCUCAUAUGAAGUCAGAUUUGGGCGUUCUAUAUAUAUUCGGAAACCUCGUUUCAACUACUACAACAUUAACCAAAGAUAUCAAGUUUAUUUUACACUUUAAUUUUGACGCUUAUUUUUAUUCUUAAUUAAUCAAACCACAUAAUUAAGCAAUUAAGCACAAAACACAUAAUACUCAAAUAAUACACUUCUAUUAUUUCAAAACGGGUUACAAAGGUUAACCUAGACUAUUAUAUCAACAUUAAUGACAGGCCCAGAAACACAGGCGUUAC
rnacentral:lncRNA from 1 species